rnacentral:lncRNA from 1 species
CGAACUGCUGCACCCCGGGUCCUGGACCCACAGAGAGGCUGUGACCUCCUAGCACGCCUCACCAGCCCCCUUGCCUGAUCCUUCACCAAAUCUCCUCUUUCUUGGCCUUGGAGCUUCAUGAAGAAGGAGGUCUGAGAGCCCCCCCAUACGCAUCAUCCCAGAAAAGUCUAGGCCCCUUCUAUUCAUUGGUAUUUUUUUUCCCUUUCAUUCAACAAGAAAUUAGUGCAUGUCAGCAUGUGCCAGGCACGAGCAAGGCCGGGAGGCAGGAAGAGGGGCGGCCCCAGGCUACAGGGACCAGCCAGCCCCAUCCCUACCCCCUCUCCUUCUCGCCUGACUCAGCCGACAGCAGGAUGGGAAUAAAGGGCGCCCCACCAGCGUCCUCCAAUUUCCCGCUAUUCAGCUCAGACCUGAGUAGCAGCAGGCAGCCGAAAGGAUUUGCAGGUCAGCAGCCACUUGGCUCUGGAAGCAGCUGCAGAUGUGUGGCCACACCAGCACCAGGGGACCCUAUUCUGCAUCUAUGCUGGGCUGGAAGACUGCAAAACCACUUGGCAGAAGACAUAAAUGAGAAAUCCUGUACCAAGUAAGGAUGAAAAGAAGAAUUGGAAACAAGUAUGCAAUCGGCCACCAACUAUCGAAUGGAAGCAAUAAAAAAGAACUCAACCAGGGCCGGGGAUUUAGCCCAAUGGUUCUGCCGCCUGCCUUGCAAGUGCAAGGAUCCAAGUUCGAUCCCUGGUACCAAAAAAAAAUUGUUUGUGCAAAAAGAACUCAACCCUACCCAUGCUCAUGCCUACACACUCUCGCACACCUUCCCUCUCUCUCCCUCAGAGGGACUCAGUUCCAAGGUGUGAAUACACCAAGUCUGCCCUCCUCAGGGCUGCCGUGCAUGUCAGAUGAGAAGAUGCAGGGAUGGUGCCUGCAGACGUGAACACACUCCACGCAUGUGGAUGAAGUAUCACUUGACCCCAAUUCUUCUCUCAGGGAGAAGGAAGCUCCUGCUGGGUCCUGAAGCUUCUUAGUUUUCUAGUUAGUUUCCUUUUGUUCCUCUCCAAAGCUCUGCUUACCCAGGAGAAUAAUGUCAACACUUAUGAUGCCAUUUUAAUCAUCCCAGGGGCAUUGAUCAUUAUUAUGAAUCCCAAAAUAGCUGAGCUAUUCAUGUUUGACAGUGCGAUCAUGCAGGGCUAUACAUCAUGGAACCUUCAAUGGAGGAUAUGCCUUGGUUUUCCAUGCACCUUCUCAUCUGUCGUCUCACAGAGAGGAGGUAUUCUCCCGAUUAUAGGGGUCCAAAACCAGGGGCCAAGGUGGGUCUGAUCACUCACCAGCUGGAGGACUGUGCUGGAAGGAUGGGCGCAGGUCCCUUCUCUGUUUCAGCAUGAGAUUUGCACACUGAGGGAAGUGUACGGCACCCCCCCACACACACACACACACACACACUGUGGGCUCCAUCUUUUCUCCCUAGCAUUGAGGUUUAAGGUUCCCACCUCCUUCCCAGCCCUGUUUCCUGGUCCCACCACCUCCUCCCCUGGGUCUUGCUCAACAAUGACCUUUUGGCAUCUCUGCCUCUCCCUCUGCACAGCUUCCACCUUGCCUCCCUGACAGGUGUGUUCAUGCCCCGACCACAUACCACCUGCUCCAGACGGACGCCCUCUCUGUUGCCCUCCCUGGCUCAGAUGCUCCUGAAAGCAGAGUCCGGGAUCCAGGCCUAGGGACAGGCACAAACUUAAGUAUCUACAUGGGUUGAAUUGUGUCCUCCCCAAGGCUAUGCUCAAGGUCUAACCUCUCAUUCCUGUGGAUGGAUCUUACUUAGGAAGAGGACCAAGUCCAGAGGAGCUCCCAUAGUGCUUCAGUGGGCUCUAACCCACUGAUGGACUUCCUUAAAAGAAGGAAGAUUUGGACCCAGAAACACUUCGGGAGACCACAAAGGCCUCAUAUUGGAGUAAUGUAUCUAUAAGCCCAAGCAUAAAAAGGAUUGCCAGCAUCACCUGGAAGCCAGUAGAGAGGUCUGGCCCUGACUCUCCCAAGAGCCUUCGGAGGGAACCACC